rnacentral:rRNA from 1 species
AACGAACGCUGGCGGCAUGCCUAACACAUGCAAGUCGAACGAGACCUUCGGGUCUAGUGGCGCACGGGUGCGUAACGCGUGGGAACCUGCCCUUAGGUUCGGAAUAACUCCCCGAAAGGGGUGCUAAUACCGGAUAAUGUCUUCGGACCAAAGAUUUAUCGCCUUUGGAUGGGCCCGCGUUGGAUUAGCUAGUUGGUAGGGUAAAAGCCUACCAAGGCGACGAUCCAUAGCUGGUCUGAGAGGAUGAUCAGCCACACUGGGACUGAGACACGGCCCAGACCUCUAAGGGGGGCAGCAAGGGGGAAAAAUGGACCAAGGGGGGAAGGCCGAUUCCAGCAUUGCGGGGGAGUUGUGAAGGGCUUAGGGUUGUAAAGCCCUUUUUACCGGGAAGGUAAUGACAGUACCGGGAGAAUAAGCUCCGGCUAACUCCGU